GAUGAACGCUGACAGAAUGCUUAACACAUGCAAGUCUUUGGCGAAGCUGUGCUUGCACAGCCUAGCCAAGGCGGACGGGUGAGUAACGCGUAAGGAACUUGCCCUGCAGUCAGGGAUAACAGACGGAAACGACUGAUAAGACCUGGUAAAGUCAGGCGGACUCAUGUCCAGCCUGAUGAAAAGAGAUGCUGCAGGAGAGCCUUGCGUCCUAUUAGCUUGUUGGCGGGGUAACGGCCCACCAAGGCGAUGAUAGGUAGCCGGCCUGAGAGGGUGGACGGCCACAAGGGGACUGAGAUACGGCCCUUACUCCUACGGGAGGCAGCAGUGGGGAAUAUUGGACAAUGGGGGCAACCCUGAUCCAGCAAUUCUGUGUGCACGAUGAAGGUUUUCGGAUUGUAAAGUGCUUUCAGCAGGGAAGAAAAAAAUGACGGUACCUGCAGAAGAAGCGACGGCUAAAUACGUG
rnacentral:rRNA from 1 species